GGGAAUCUGCCCUUGGGUUCGGAAUAACAGUUAGAAAUGACUGCUAAUACCGGAUAAUGUCUUCGGACCAAAGAUUUAUUGCCCAAGGAUGAGCCCGCGUCGGAUUAGCUAGUUGGUGAGGUAAAGGCUCACCAAGGCGACGAUCCGUAGCUGGUCUGAGAGGAUGAUCAGCCACACUGGGACUGAGACACGGCCCAGACUCCUACGGGAGGCAGCAGUGGGGAAUAUUGGACAAUGGGCGAAAGCCUGAUCCAGCAAUGCCGCGUGAGUGAUGAAGGCCUUAGGGUUGUAAAGCUCUUUUACCCGGGAUGAUAAUGACAGUACCGGGAGAAUAAGCCCCGGCUAACUCCGUGCCAGCAGCCGCGGUAAUACGGAGGGGGCUAGCGUUGUUCGGAAUUACUGGGCGUAAAGCGCACGUAGGCGGCUUUGUAAGUUAGAGGUGAAAGCCCGGAGCUCAACUCCGGAACUGCCUUUAAGACUGCAUCGCUUGAAUCAUGGAGAGGUUAGUGGAAUUCCGAGU
rnacentral:rRNA from 1 species